UUCCGGUUGAUCCCGCCGGACCCGACNGCUAUCGGAGUGGGACUAAGCCAUGCGAGUUGUACGUCCCGGGCUGGCGGGACGUGGCGUACGGCUCAGUAACACGUGGCCAACCUACCCGGCGGACGGCUAUAACCCCGGGAAACUGGGGCUAAUAGCCGAUAGGGGAUAGGCGCUGGAAGGCCCUAUCCCCGAAAAGGCUACACACCCAUGCCGUGUGUAGCCGCCGCAGGAUGGGGCUGCGCCCUAUCAGGUAGUAGGUGGGGUAACGGCCCACCUAGCCUAUAACGGGUGCGGGCCCUGGGAGGGGGAGCCCGGAGAUGGGCACUGAGACAAGGGCCCAGGCCCUACGGGGCGCAGCAGGCGCGAAACCUCCGCUAUGCGCGAAAGCGCGACGGGGCCACUCCGAGUGCCGCCCGCUGAGGGCGGCUUUUGCCCAGUCCAAAAGGCUGGGCGAAUAAGGGGAGGGCAAGAUUGGUGUCAGCCGCCGCGGUAAUACCAACUCCCCGAGUGGUCGGGACGAUUAUUGGGCUUAAAGCGUCCGUAGCCGGUCGGGUGUGUCGUCGGUUAAAUCCGACGUCUCAAGCGUCGGACUGCCGGCGAUACUACCCGGCUAGGGAGCGGGAGAAGCGGCGGUAUUCCCGGGGUAGGGGUAAAAUCCUCAGAUCCCGGGAGGACCAUCGGUGGCAAGCCGGGCCGCUUAGAACGCGUCCGACGGUGAGGACCGAAAGCUGGGGGAGCGAUCCGGAUUAAAUACCCGGGUAGUCCCAGCUGUAAACGAUGCAGGCUAGUUGU
rnacentral:rRNA from 1 species